UUGGCUGUUUGCACUAGCGAAGGACACGUGAAGGUUUAUCGUCCACCCUUUUGUGAUUUCUGUUCAGAAUGGAUUGAGGUUGUGAACGUUAGUGAACGUCUAUUGAAUAUUUGCAAUGUACUGAGUUUCAAGGCACGGGGACUCCAUUAGAGUUUUCCAAAAGAAAUGCAUCAGAUGAAAUAGAUUCUGUGGCUAAACCUAAAAAGAAAUCCUUGAAAACAGUUCCGAGAACGACAUGUUGCCUGUGAUAAGUGCUGAUCAAUAUGCUACUCGCAGCGCAGUGCUAAGCUCAAUUGUUGUUUCAUGGUCUCCUUUACUGCAUGAUAUUCAUGCUACUGUCAGCCUACUUGCUGU